AAAUUGAAGAGUUUGAUCAUGGCUCAGAUUGAACGCUGGCGGCAGGCCUAACACAUGCAAGUCGAACGGUAGCACAGAGAGCUUGCUCUCGGGUGACGAGUGGCGGACGGGUGAGUAAUGUCUGGGAAACUGCCUGAUGGAGGGGGAUAACUACUGGAAACGGUGGCUAAUACCGCAUAACGUCGCGAGACCAAAGAGGGGGACCUUCGGGCCUCUUGCCAUCAGAUGUGCCCAGAUGGGAUUAGCUUGUUGGUGAGGUAACGGCUCACCAAGGCGACGAUCCCUAGCUGGUCUGAGAGGAUGACCAGCCACACUGGAACUGAGACACGGUCCAGACUCCUACGGGAGGCAGCAGUGGGGAAUAUUGCACAAUGGGCGCAAGCCUGAUGCAGCCAUGCCGCGUGUAUGAAGAAGGCCUUCGGGUUGUAAAGUACUUUCAGCGGGGAGGAAGGUGUUGUGGUUAAUAACCGCAGCAAUUGACGUUACCCGCAGAAGAAGCACCGGCUAACUCCGUGCCAGCAGCCGCGGUAAUACGG
rnacentral:rRNA from 1 species